rnacentral:lncRNA from 1 species
AUAGAUAUGCGCAUAUAUUAUGUUGUUUAAUAUUAAUUUCAAGAUCCUUCAGUAACUUAGGCAAACAUAAGAUUUUAAAAAAAAAUUAUAAUGACAUACAGUAUGUUGUAAAUGUAAUCAAACUAAAUGUUUUAUUAGUGAUCGAUCGCUCAGUAAAUCCAAUCUGUAAUCUUGAUUUUCUCUCUCUUUGCCUCCUCUUGAUCUUCUUUUGAUCAUUAUUUCACUAUUUUGAUUCAUUCCACCUCCUUUUUGCUCAUAAGACUACAAAUAUCUUCAACUCUUCAUGAUCCAUUCCAUAAACCUAAGAAAGACAAAUUCACAUGUAUAUGCACAACUAUAUGCCUAAAAAUGAAUGCAAAAUAGAGAAAACUAAU